rnacentral:rRNA from 1 species
UACGUAGGUGGCGAGCGUUGUCCGGAUUUACUGGCGUAAAGGGAGCGCAGGCGGACUUUUAAGUGAGAUGUGAAAUACUCGGACUCAACUUGAGUGCUGCAUUUCAAACUGGAAGUCUAGAGUGCAGGAGAGGAGAAUGGAAUUCCUAGUGUAGCGGUGAAAUGCGUAGAGAUUAGGAAGAACACCAGUGGCGAAGGCGAUUCUCUGGACUGUAACUGACGCUGAGGCUCGAAAGCGUGGGGAGCAAACAGG